rnacentral:misc_RNA from 1 species
AACCAUAGAAACCUGCGGAGUACCUGCGGAGGGAUCAUUAUAGUAUAUGGAAUCUCCAUUCUAUAAACCCACUCUGCGUAUCUUGUAACUGUUGCUUCCAUGGGACUUGGUUCCGCCACACCGGCUUCACGGCUGGUGAGCGCCCAUGGAAGGAGAAACAAAACUCUUCUUUGAAAUGUAGUCAGUCUGAACAAGUUUUAUAAACGUUAAAACUUUCAACAACGGAUCUCAGAUCGGAAG